rnacentral:rRNA from 1 species
UACGUAGGUGGCGAGCGUUGUCCGGAUUUACUGGGCGUAAAGGGCGUGCAGGCGGUUUGUUAAGUGCAGGGUGAAAGCUCCCGGCUCAACUGGGAGAGGUCCUUGCAUACUGGCGAACUCGAGGGAGGCAGAGGAAAGUGGAAUUCCCGGUGUAGUGGUGAUAUGCGUAGAUAUCGGGAGGAACACCUGCGGCGAAGGCGGGUUGCUGGGCUGAUACUGACGCUGAGGCGCGAAAGCCAGGGGAGCGAACGGG